rnacentral:rRNA from 1 species
UACGUAGGGUGCAAGCGUUAAUCGGAAUUACUGGGCGUAAAGCGUGCGCAGGCGGUUUUGUAAGUCUGACGUGAAAUCCCCGGGCUCAACCUGGGAAUUGCGUUGGAGACUGCAAGGCUGGAGUCUGGCAGAGGGGGGUAGAAUUCCACGUGUAGCAGUGAAAUGCGUAGAGAUGUGGAGGAACACCGAUGGCGAAGGCAGCCCCCUGGGCCGAUACUGACGCUCAGGCACGAAAGCGUGGGGAGCAAACAGG